rnacentral:rRNA from 1 species
AGAGUUUGAUCAUGGCUCAGGACGAACGCUGGCGGCGUGCUUAACACAUGCAAGUCGAGCGAUGAAGCACCUUCGGGUGUGAAUUAGCGGCGAACGGGUGAGGAACACGUGAAGAAUCUGCCUUCAACUCUGGGAUAACUCCGGGAAACCGSGGCUAAUACCGGAUAUGAGCCUUGAUCGCAUGAUCGGGGCUGGAAAGUUUUUCGGUUGAAGAUGACUUCGCGGCCUAUCAGCUUGUUGGUGAGGUAAUGGCUCACCAAGGCGACGACGGGUAGCCGGCCUGAGAGGGCGACCGGCCACACUGGGACUGAGACACGGCCCAGACUCCUACGGGAGGCAGCAGUGGGGAAUAUUGGGCAAUGGAGGAAACUCUGACCCAGCGACGCCGCGUGAGGGAUGAAGGCCU